rnacentral:rRNA from 1 species
UACGGAGGGGGCUAGCGUUGUUCGGAAUUACUGGGCGUAAAGCGUACGUAGGCGGCUUUGUAAGUUAGAGGUGAAAGCCCGGAGCUCAACUCCGGAAUUGCCUUUAAGACUGCAUCGCUAGAAUCAUGGAGAGGUGAGUGGAAUUCCGAGUGUAGAGGUGAAAUUCGUAGAUAUUCGGAAGAACACCAGUGGCGAAGGCGACUCACUGGACAUGUAUUGACGCUGAGGUGCGAAAGCGUGGGGAGCAAACAGGAU